rnacentral:rRNA from 1 species
UACGGAGGAUCCAAGCGUUAUCCGGAAUUACUGGGCGUAAAGAGUUGCGUAGGCGGCAAAGUAAGCAAAAUGUGAAAUCGUGUGGCUCAACCACAUACCCAUAUUUUGAACUGCUUUGCUAGAGAAUGGAAGAGGUCGCUAGAAUUCCUGGUGUAGGGGUGAAAUCCGUAGAUAUCAGGAGGAAUACCGAUGGCGUAGGCAGGCGACUGGUCCAUUUCUGACGCUGAGGCACGAAAGCGUGGGGAGCGAUCGGG